AGUGAACGCUGGCGGUAGGCCUAACACAUGCAAGUCGAACGGCAGCACAGUAAGAGCUUGCUCUUACGGGUGGCGAGUGGCGGACGGGUGAGGAAUACAUCGGAAUCUACUUUUUCGUGGGGGAUAACGUAGGGAAACUUACGCUAAUACCGCAUACGACCUACGGGUGAAAGCAGGGGAUCUUCGGACCUUGCGCGAUUGAAUGAGCCGAUGUCGGAUUAGCUAGUUGGCGGGGUAAAGGCCCACCAAGGCGACGAUCCGUAGCUGGUCUGAGAGGAGGAUCAGCCACACUGGAACUGGGCCACGGUCCAGACUCCUACGGGAGGCAGCAGUGGGGAAUAUUGGACAAAGGGCGCAAGCCUGAUCCAGCCAUACCGCGUGGGUGAAGAAGGCCUUCGGGUUGUAAAGCCCUUUUGUUGGGAAAGAAAAGCAGCAGGUUAAUACCCCGCUGUUCUGACGGUACCCAAAGAAUAAGCACCGGCUAACUUCGUG
rnacentral:rRNA from 1 species